AGUGGAAUAACUGGGUCAAGAUGGUUCCAUUCCAAGUUUUCUGAGGAAUCUCCAUAUUGCUUUCCAGAGUGGUUGCACCAAUUUGCAGUCCCACCAGCAAU
rnacentral:pre_miRNA from 1 species